GUGAGUCAUCGAAUCUUUGAACGCACAUUGCGCCCGUUAGUAUUCUGACGGGCAUGCCUGUUCGAGCGUCAUUUCAACCCUCAGGCCCAGCCUGGUGAUGGGGACCCGCCUGCGGGCCCUGAAGUACAGUGGCGGCUCCGCCAUGCUCCGAGCGCAGUAAAUCUUCUCGCUUAGGGUGUGUGGCGGCUGUCUGCCUUGCAAUGCUUUUUAAACUAUGGUUGACCUCGGAUCAGGUAGGAAUACCCGCUGAACUUAAGCAUAUCAAUAAGCGGAGGA
rnacentral:misc_RNA from 1 species